rnacentral:tRNA from 1 species
GUUAACGUAGCAAAACCUGGUANAUGCAAAAGACCUAAGCUCUUUCCAUAGAGACUCAAAUCCUCUCGUUAACU